AUGCGCCACCCACAAAUCACUAUCCAGUUACUAUCCUUGGCCAGCCGCCAGGAACGACUGCCUCCACCACCCGUUACUCCUAGUCCAUCUCCAGACACUUUCAUCCAGCUCCGGCGCAGCCACCCACCCUCUCCCGGCCACCUCUCCAGUUACACCACGCCUCACCAGUUCGACCUCUCUGCAGCAGCCGUCGCUGGGGUCGAGAUGUCCGUGAGCGUGACGAUUGGGGUGAUGAGACCCCUCCUCGGCAAGUUCGCGGACCUGGCGGGCAACGAGUACAGCAAGCUCAAGGGGGUGAAGAAGCAGGCGGCCUUCCUCGAGAAGGAGCUCAGCGCAAUGAACGCCGCACUCGAGAAGAUGGAGGUCAUGGACGAGCUUGAUCCCGUGGCUAGGGACUGGAGGGAUCAUGUCCGGGAGAUGUCAUACGACAUGGAGAACUGCAUCGAUGACUUCCUGCGCCAGUUUGGAAGUGGUAAUGCAAAGCUAGGAUUCAUCAAGAAGACGGCCCGACGUCUCAAGAUGUUGGGACAGCUCCAUCGGAUUGCCGACCGCAUGGAAGAGCUCAAGGCUCUUGCGCUAGACGCAAAUGAACGACGCCUCAGGUACAAGUUUGAAGACCGCAAACCUGAUUCUAGCUUUGUUGCUAUUGAUCCUCGCAUGACAGCAAUAUAUGUGGAAGCUGCUGGCCUUGUGGGCAUCGACGGUCCAACUGAGGAGCUUGUCAAUUUGCUGUCAGAUACUCAGGAGAAGCUCAAAGUGGUGUCCAUCGUGGGAUUCGGAGGACUGGGUAAAACUACACUGGCCAAAAAGGUGUACGAUGAGAUCAAAGGGGAGUUUGAAUGUACAUCAUUUGUUUCUGUAUCCCAAAGACCAAAUAUGACGGGGCUUCUCCAUCGUAUACAACUAAAACUUGGGAUGAAUCAGUCUUCUCGGGUCUAUGAGGUGCAAGACAUUAUUGAAGAGCUUAAGGAAUAUCUCACAGAUAAAAGGUACCUUAUUGUAUUGGAUGACUUGUGGGACCAGUCAGCAUGGAAUACUAUCAGUCGCACAUUUCCAGAAAAUGCUAAUAGGAGUAGAGUACUGGUUACCACACGUGUGGAAGGCGUGGCUUGUGGAGCAUGUUGCAAUCAGCCUGGGUGCAUUUACAGAAUGGAGCCCCUUGACGAGGUAGACUCGAAAGAGUUGUUUUUUCAUAGAGUGUAUGGGUCUGAAGAUGACCGUUCAUCCCAAUUUGAAGAAAUCUCAGCUAAGAUUCUAAAGAAGUGUGGUGGGCUCCCACUUGCAAUAAUUACUAUAGCUAGCCUAUUAGCUACUCGUCCUGAAAGGUUAAGGGAUGAGUGGGAGAGCAUCAAGAAUUCUCUUGGAACCCAGUUUGUGGUAAACCCCACUUUGGAUGGGGUAAAGAAUAUAUUAAACCUUAGCUACAUCCAUCUUCCCCUUCAUCUCCGGGCAUGUUUGCUGCACCUUGGUUUAUAUCCAGAAGAUCAUGAGAUCGAGAGGGAUGAUUUGGUUCGACAAUGGUCAGCUGAAGGACUUGUCAGUAAAUUGCAUGGGAAAGACUCUGAGAUUGUUGCGCAAAGCUAUUUUAAUGAUCUUGUCAACAGAAGCUUGAUUCAGCCUGGACGUACCUCGGAUGGCGAGUUGGUAUCAUGCAGAGUACAUGAUAUGAUGCUCGAUUUGAUCCUAAGCAAGUGUGAAGAGCAUAAUUUUCUGAUAGUUGAAUGCAAUCCUGAAGAGAUGGUAAGAGAUCAUGGCCGAAAAUAUAAGACACGUCGUAUAUCCAUGAACUUCAGUAAUGGUGGUGCAGCAGAUGAGACAACAUCAAGGACUAUUCCUUCUAGCCUAUCACAAGUUCGAUCACUUGCGCUUUUCGGGGAAUCCAAGUACAUGCCCCCUCUUUUGCAUUUUAAGUAUCUCAGGGUCCUUCUCUUCAAAAGUUUGGGCCACAAAGUAAUUGAUCUCACGGAUAUUGGCCAACUGUUCGAACUGAGGUAUUUAAAAGUUUCAUCUAAAGGAAAAGUCAAACUCCCUGCCGAAAUGCAAGGGCUUGUGCAUUUGGAGACACUAGAUUUAGAUUGCAUGUGGGCCAUAGAAAUCCCAUCGGAUAUAGUUAACUUGCCCCGCUUAUCCCACUUGGAAGUUCCAUACGGAUGCAAAGUGCCUAAAGGGAUCAGGAAAAUGAAAUCAUUGCACACUUUGAUUGGGUUUUACCUGGGCCCGAGUUCAUUGGAGGAUAUUGAGGGACUCGGUGAGCUUACCAAUCUGAGACGCCUGGGGCUCUCAGUGUAUUUUCUAGACGGACUUGAGAUAGCAGCAUGGGUUGCUUUGGCGCAUUCUAUUGAGAUGUUGCAUGAUCUCAGAUAUCUCAGCAUCAUUUGCCAUGCCGCUUAUACGAGUGACCUACUAGACUCAUUAUCAAAUCCUUCUCGUCAUAUGAAGGUACUUAAGCUGUGUCCACUUAGGAUGCCUAGAGUUCCCAAGUGGAUUUGUGGUCUCCAAUGCCUCUGCCGGCUAGAGCUGAAUGUCGACACGUGUACUGACGAGUUGCACGCUCUUGGAGAGCUGCCCUCUCUCGUCCACCUCAAAUUACGGAUGUGGAGUAUCCCUGAAGACAGCUGUGUCACUUUCUCCGCGGGAUCAUUUCCGGUUCUGGAGGUCUAUGAAUUUGAAUCAGAGUAUGAUGUUACUGCGUACCUGGUCUUUGCGGCAGGGGCUAUGCCCAAACUAAGUUUGCUUGUACUACAGUUCGACAAGCGUAACUGGGGCGGCGCUACACCAGUUGGCUUGGAGCACCUGUUGAGCCUCGAGUAUAUCAUUGUACGUACCAUCUGCGGCCUUGAAGAAGUGAUGGAUAAAGCAGAGAUAGAGUCUGCCUUCAGGAACUGUACGGAGGUGCAUCCAAACCGUCCUCUGUUUCACAUCUCAAAUAGAGCACGAUAA
rnacentral:rRNA from 1 species